GGGGAUGCCCAGGUGAGAGAGGUCAGGAGGUCGCUGGAGCGUGCCCUUCACUCCUAGGUGCCCCCCUCGUACCUCUCAAGCUGCGCCCUGGGCAUCACUGAGCAGAGGGAUGCGGCAGCCACCAGGGCUGUCUAGGCUUCAGGAGGCGGAAAGGAGAUGGGCCCAGGAGAUCCGCAGGACCAAAGGGUGCAGUGAUGGGCUGGGUGGCGGGCCCAGGGAAAUAGGGUGGGGUGGGCUGGGUAAGACCUGGCCCUCCCUCACUGCCCUGAAGACCACCCCAGUCUACCUCGGUGCUGGCCAGGAAACCUAUAGGCUACCUCUCCCGUCAUCCCAGACUGUGGGCAGGGGGAUGGGGAGGGAGUGGGCCUGGGGCUGGGACCCCCCCCUCCAGAAUUUCCUCCAGAUGGGGGCUGUGUCCGGGGAAGGGUUAUCUUCCCUGCCAUGGAGGGGAAUCCCCAGCCCAGGCCCUAGGCCCCUCAGCAGGGAAGGGACCCCGUCCCUAGUCCCCACGGCACAUCCCAAUCUGAAAGCCAUGCGUGUCCGUGUAUAUAGGAACCGUGUACAGAGCCCGGAGCAGCUCCCCAUGUCCCCCCGGGAAAAAAAGAAAACUAGACAGAAACUCAUCUAUAUAUUCUGUAUCUGGAGUUCCGUUUUGAAUAUUAACUGUGUUAUUUUUAUACACUUUUUAAGCCUUAACUCGCCAUUGAUUUACCAGUUUAACGUUUCCUGGGGUUUCUUUUCCCAUGGGGUUUUCUGGCCCCACCCUCACCCCUUUGUUUGACUUGCGUCUCUGAUAAACUCAGUAUUGUAGCUUUUUGUCCGCAUGUUACUACCCUGUAAAUACGCUGUUAUACAUACUGUUAACACCCCUUUGCUUUUUUCUAUGGGACCUCCAGGCCACCAUAUUUAGAACUAGUUACCUUAUUAAAAAAGAGAAAACAGUCUGUUGGCUUCUCAGUCUGCAUCUUGGUGGCAGGUGCCCCUCAGACGCGUCAGGAAAGAAGUUUGCAUUUUAUUUAAAAAAGGGGGUGGGGAGCAAAACAAAAGCAAAUGUGGGGGAAAGACACUAAAGGGGGCGAGAAACAAAGGAAUUACAAACCCUCUGCUCUUUGUAUUUCUCUGUUGUGAAGAAUAAACUGUACCUGCACCCGGG